GAAGCUGACCAGACAGUCGCCGCUUCGUCGUCGUCCUCUUCGGGGGAGACGGGCGGAGGGGAGGAAAGUCCGGGCUCCAUAGGGCAGGGUGCCAGGUAACGCCUGGGGGGGAAACCCACGACCAGUGCAACAGAGAGCAAACCGCCGAUGGCCCGUGCAAGCGGGAUCAGGUAAGGGUGAAAGGGUGCGGUAAGAG
rnacentral:RNase_P_RNA from 1 species